rnacentral:rRNA from 1 species
AUCACUUUGAGCUAACUCUAGCCCAAACAAUCUCUCUAUACUAAUACCUAAAUUCAAUAACCAAAUCAUUUACCUACUAUAAAAGUAUAGGCGAUAGAAAUUAUAUCCGGGCGCAAUAGAUGAAGUACCGUAAGGAAAGAAACCCCCAACAAAGCAUAAAAAAGCAAAGACAAGCCCUUAUACCUUGCGCAUAAUGAAUUAACUAGAAAUAACUUUAUACAAAGAAUUUAAAUAAAGCUCCCCGAAACCAGACGAGCUACCCAAAGAUAGCUAAAAGAGCGCACCCGUCUAUGUGGCAAAAUAGUGGGAAAAUCUAUGGGUAGUGGCGACAAACCUACCGAGCCUGGUGAUAGCUGGUUGUCCAAGACAGAGUCUUAGUUCAACUUUAUAUUUACUUACAGAACCAUUUAAUCCCCUCGUAAAUUUAAUUGUUAGUCUAAAGGGGGGCAGCCCUUUAGACCCUAGGAAAAAACCUUACUAUAGUGAGUAAAACACUUCACCACCAUAGUUGGCCUAAAAGCAGCCAUCAAUUAAGAAAGCGUUCAAGCUCAAUAUCCAAACACCCUCUAAUUCCAUUAACUUCACUGAACUCCUAAAACACAUUGGACUAAUCUAUUAUCUAAUAGAAGCAAUAAUGUUAAUAUAAGUAACAUGAAAACUAUUCUCCCCCGCAUAAGCUUAUUACAGAUCGAAACAACUACUGCUAGUUAACAGGACAAUCAUUACAACCCACAACUUAAUACCCCAUUAACUAAACUGUUAACCCAACACAGGCAUGCACCCAGGAAAGAUUAAAAAAAGUAAAAGGAACUCGGCAAACUUUACCCCCGCCUGUUUACCAAAAACAUCACCUCUAGCAUUAAUAGUAUUAGAGGCACUGCCUGCCCGGUGACACAUGUUUAACGGCCGCGGUACCCUGACCGUGCAAAGGUAGCAUAAUCACUUGUUCUCUAAAUAGGGACUUGUAUGAACGGCAACACGAGGGCUUAACUGUCUCUUACUUUUAAUCAGUGAAAUUGACCUAUCCGUGAGGAGGCGGAUAUACACAAACAAGACGAGAAGACCCUAUGGAGCUUCAAUUUAAUAAUACAAACUAGCACACUAAAAACCAACAGGCACUAACACACCAUCAAUGUAUUAUAAAUUUCGGUUGGGGUGACCUCGGAGUACAGUACAACCUCCGAAAACAUAAGCCAUGACCUAACUAGUCUAAGUAAAUUACACUCAUUGACCCAAUAACUUGAUCAACGGACUAAGUUACCCUAGGAUAACAGCGCAAUCCUAUUCUAGAGUCCAUAUCGACAAUAGGGUUUACGACCUCGAUGUUGGAUCAAGACAUCCCAAUGGUGUAGCCGCUAUUAAGGGUUCGUUUGUUCAACGAUUAAAGUCUUACGUGAUCUGAGUUCAGACCGGAGCAAUCCAGGUCGGUUUCUAUCUAUUAAAGAUUCCUCCCAGUACGAAAGGACAAGAGAAAUAGAGCCCACUUUACAAAGCGCCCUCAUAAUGUCAGAUGACUAAUAUCUUAACCUUACAAAUUAAUAUGCAUAGCCCAAAAACAGGGCUUA